CAGCAGUGUACUGGGCCUUUCAGCAUCUUGACCUGCCCCAGUUCGGUGGCACUCAGGAAUAUAAAAAGAAAGAAGAGAAUCAAAUUAACAUUAUCAAAGUUGAAAAGUUUGAUCUCAUCUCUAAUGAAGAAGAAACUAAGAAAAUCCAGUGCUAGAGUAAGAAUAUUUCCUAUGUGUAAAUGGAGAAAAUGGAAACUUGCUUUCACAGUUCAAUCGUCAAAAACCUCUACUAAUGCCUGAAUUCACCAGAAGAAUGUUUUUAAAUGAAUAAAAUAAAACAUCUGAAUUUAGAAAGAAAAUCC
rnacentral:lncRNA from 1 species